rnacentral:rRNA from 1 species
GAUGAACGCUGGCGGCGUGCCUAAUACAUGCAAGUCGAGCGAACAGACGAGGAGCUUGCUCCUCUGACGUUAGCGGCGGACGGGUGAGUAACACGUGGAUAACCUACCUAUAAGACUGGGAUAACUUCGGGAAACCGGAGCUAAUACCGGAUAGUAUAUUGAACCGCAUGGUUCAAUAGUGAAAGACGGUUUUGCUGUCACUUAUAGAUGGAUCCGCGCCGCAUUAGCUAGUUGGUAAGGUAACGGCUUACCAAGGCGACGAUGCGUAGCCGACCUGAGAGGGUGAUCGGCCACACUGGAACUGAGACACGGUCCAGACUCCUACGGGAGGCAGCAGUAGGGAAUCUUCCGCAAAGGGCGAAAGCCUGACGGAGCAACGCCGCGUGAGUGAUGAAGGUCUUCGGAUCGUAAAACUCUGUUAUUAGGGAAGAACAAAUGUGUAAGUAACUAUGCACGUCUUGACGGUACCUAAUCAGAAAGCCACGGCUAACUACGUG